GCUAACUACGUGCCAGCAGCCGCGGUAAAACGUAGGAGGCAAGCGUUAUCCGGAGUUACUGGGCGUAAAGAGCGCGCAGGCGGUUCGAUAAGUGGGUCGUGAAAGCUCCCGGCUAAACUGGGAGAGGACGAUUCAGACUGUCGGGCUAGAGGAUGGUAGAGGGGCGUGGAAUUCCGGGUGUAGCGGUGAAAUGUGUAGAGAUCCGGAGGAACACCAGUGGUGCAGACGGCGCCCUGGGCCACACCUGACGCUGAGGCGCGAAAGCUUGGGGAGCGAACGGGAUUAGAUACCCUUGUAGUC
rnacentral:rRNA from 1 species